rnacentral:rRNA from 1 species
GAUGAACGCUGGCGGCGUGCCUAAUACAUGCAAGUCGAGCGAACAGACGAGGAGCUUGCUCCUCUGACGUUAGCGGCGGACGGGUGAGUAACACGUGGAUAACCUACCUAUAAGACUGGGAUAACUUCGGGAAACCGGAGCUAAUACCGGAUAAUAUAUUGAACCGCAUGGUUCAAUAGUGAAAGACGGUUUUGCUGUCACUUAUAGAUGGAUCCGCGCCGCAUUAGCUAGUUGGUAAGGUAACGGCUUACCAAGGCGACGAUGCGUAGCCGACCUGAGAGGGGGAUCGGCCACACUGGAACUGAGACACGGUCCAGACUCCAACGGGAGGCAGCAGUAGGAAAUCUUCCGCAAUGGGCGAAAGCCUGACGAAGCAACGCCGCGGGAGUGAUGAAGGUCUUCGGAUCGUAAAACUCUGUUAUUAGGGAAGAACAAAUGUGUAAGUAACUAUGCACGUCUUGACGGUACCUAAUCAGAAAGCCACGGCUAACUACGU